rnacentral:rRNA from 1 species
CUGGAGGUAUCAGAAGUGCGAAUGCUGACAUAAGUAACGAUAAAGCGGGUGAAAAGCCCGCUCGCCGGAAGACCAAGGGUUCCUGUCCAACGUUAAUCGGGGCAGGGUGAGUCGACCCCUAAGGCGAGGCCGAAAGGCGUAGUCGAUGGGAAACGGGUUAAUAUUCCCGUACUUGGUGUUACUGCGAAGGGGGGACGGAGAAGGCUAUGUUGGCCGGGCGACGGUUGUCCCGGUUUAAGCGUGUAGGUGUGUGUUCCAGGUAAAUCCGGUUCACUUUAACACUGAGGCGUGAUGACGAGGCACUACGGUGCUGAAGCAACAAAUGCCCUGCUUCCAGGAAAAGCCUCUAAGCAUCAGGUAACAUCAAAUCGUACCCCAAACCGACACAGGUGGUCAGGUAGAGAAUACCAAGGCGCUUGAGAGAACUCGGGUGAAGGAACUAGGCAAAAUGGUGCCGUAACUUCGGGAGAAGGCACGCUGACACGUAGGUGAAGUGAUUUACUCAUGGAGCUGAAGUCAGUCGAAGAUACCAGCUGGCUGCAACUGUUUAUUAAAAACACAGCACUGUGCAAACACGAAAGUGGACGUAUACGGUGUGACGCCUGCCCGGUGCCGGAAGGUUAAUUGAUGGGGUCAGCGCAAGCGAAGCUCCUGAUCGAAGCCCCGGUAAACGGCGGCCGUAACUAUAACGGUCCUAAGGUAGCGAAAUUCCUUGUCGGGUAAGUUCCGACCUGCACGAAUGGCGUAAUGAUGGCCAGGCUGUCUCCACCCGAGACUCAGUGAAAUUGAACUCGCUGUGAAGAUGCAGUGUACCCGCGGCAAGACGGAAAGACCCCGUGAACCUUUACUAUAGCUUGACACUGAACAUUGAGCCUUGAUGUGUAGGAUAGGUGGGAGGCUUUGAAGUGUGGACGCCAGUCUGCAUGGAGCCGGCCUUGAAAUACCACCCUUUAAUGUUUGAUGUUCUAACGUGGACCCGUUACCCGGGUUGCGGACAGUGUCUGGUGGGUAGUUUGACUGGGGCGGUCUCCUCCUAAAGAGUAACGGAGGAGCACGAAGGUUGGCUAAUCCUGGUCGGACAUCAGGAGGUUAGUGCAAUGGCAUAAGCCAGCUUGACUGCGAGCGUGACGGCGCGAGCAGGUGCGAAAGCAGGUCAUAGUGAUCCGGUGGUUCUGAAUGGAAGGGCCAUCGCUCAACGGAUAAAAGGUACUCCGGGGAUAACAGGCUGAUACCGCCCAAGAGUUCAUAUCGACGGCGGUGUUUGGCACCUCGAUGUCGGCUCAUCACAUCCUGGGGCUGAAGUAGGUCCCAAGGGUAUGGCUGUUCGCCAUUUAAAGUGGUACGCGAGCUGGGUUUAGAACGUCGUGAGACAGUUCGGUCCCUAUCUGCCGUGGGCGCUGGAGAACUGAGGGGGGCUGCUCCUAGUACGAGAGGACCGGAGUGGACGCAUCACUGGUGUUCGGGUUGUCAUGCCAAUGGCACUGCCCGGUAGCUAAAUGCGGAAGAGAUAAGUGCUGAAAGCAUCUAAGCACGAAACUUGCCCCGAGAUGAGUUCUCCCUGAGACUUAGAGUCUCCUGAAGGAACGUUGAAGACGACGACGUUGAUAGGCCGGGUGUGUAAGCGCAGCGAUGCGUUGAGCUAACCGGUACUAAUGAACCGUGAGGCUUAACCUU